rnacentral:tRNA from 6 species
GCCCAGGUAGCUCAGUUGGUAGAGCAGAGGACUGAAAAUCCUCGUGUCGGCAGUUCGAUUCUGUCCCUGGGCACCA